UGGGGAAUAUUGGACAAUGGGCGAAAGCCUGAUCCAGCCAUGCCGCGUGUGUGAAGAAGGUCUUCGGAUUGUAAAGCACUUUAAGUUGGGAGGAAGGGCAGUAAGCGAAUACCUUGCUGUUUUGACGUUACCGACAGAAUAAGCACCGGCUAACUCUGUGCCAGCAGCCGCGGUAAUACAGAGGGUGCAAGCGUUAAUCGGAAUUACUGGGCGUAAAGCGCGCGUAGGUGGUUCGUUAAGUUGAAUGUGAAAGCCCCGGGCUCAACCUGGGAACUGCAUCCAUAACUGGCGAGCUAUAGUAGUGCAGAGUGUGGUGGAAUUUCCUGUGUAGCGGUGAAAUGCGUAGGUAUAGGAAGGAACACCAGUGGCGAAGGCGACCACCUGGGCUCAUACUGACACUGAGGUGCGAAAGCGUGGGGAGCAAACAGG
rnacentral:rRNA from 1 species